UUCAUUUGGCAUGCAUUCUAGCAGUGGGAGUUGGACCUAUAAAGAUUAAAUGUGCUGAACCUAAUGGUGGCUGAAGAAAUGGCUCGAAACAGGAGAAUUGUAACAGUAUGUGAAGGAUUCAUGCACAAUAACCAUGUCAAGGUUGCUACAAUCCGUACAAACUAAAUAGCGAUAUAUGCAACUUCAACUAACUUGGAGAAAUCAG
rnacentral:lncRNA from 1 species